rnacentral:rRNA from 1 species
UGCCAGCAGCCGCGGUAAUACGGAGGGUGCGAGCGUUAAUCGGAAUGUACUGGGCGUAAAGCGCGCGUAGGCGGCUUUGUAAGUCGGAUGUGAAAGCCCCGGGCUUGACCUGGGAAUUGCAUUCGAUACUGCAAGGCUAGAGUAUGGUAGAGGGAAGUGGUAUUCCGGGUGUAGCGGUGAAAUGCGUAGAUAUCCGGAGGAACACCAGUGGCGAAGGCGACUUCCUGGGCCAAUACUGACGCUGAGGGGCGAAAGCGUGGGGAGCAAACAGGAUUAAAUC